UUCGCCCUUAGAGUUUGAUCCUGGCUCAGGAUGAACGCUGGCGGCGUGCUUAACACAUGCAAGUCGAACGGAGCUAUGAGAGAAGCUUGCUUCACUUUUAGCUUAGUGGCGGACGGGUGAGUAACGCGUGAGUAACCUACCCUUCAGAUUGGAAUAACAUCGAGAAAUCGGUGCUAAUACCGAAUAAUGUCGGAUUGCCGCAUGACAGACCGACCAAAGAUUUAUCGCUGAAGGAUGGACUCGCGUCCGAUUAGUUUGUUGGUGGGGUAACGGCUCACCAAGACUGCGAUCGGUAGCCGAACUGAGAGGUUGAUCGGCCACAUUGGGACUGAGGCACGGCCCAGACUCCUACGGGAGGCAGCAGUGGGGAAUAUUGGGCAAUGGGCGCAAGCCUGACCCAGCAACGCCGCGUGAAGGAUGAAGGUCUUCGGAUUGUAAACUUCUUUGAUCAGGGACGAAACAAAUGACGGUACCUGAAGAACAAGCCACGGCUAACUACGUGCCAGCAGCCGCGGUAAUACGUAGGUGGCGAGCGUUAUCCGGAUUUACUGGGUGUAAAGGGCGUGUAGGCGGUUCUGCAAGUCAGAAGUGAAAUUCCCGGGCUUAACUCGGGCGCUGCUUCUGAAACUGCAGAACUUGAGUACUGGAGAGGAUAGUGGAAUUCCUAGUGUAGCGGUAAAAUGCGUAGAUAUUAGGAGGAACACCAGUGGCGAAGGCGGCUAUCUGGACAGUAACUGACGCUGAGGCGCGAGAGCGUGGGGAGCAAACAGGAUUAGAUACCCUGGUAGUCCACGCUGUAAACGAUGAAUACUAGGUGUGGGAGGACUGAACCCUUCCGUGCCGCAGUUAACACAAUAAGUAUUCCACCUGGGGAGUACGAUCGCAAGAUUGAAACUCAAAGGAAUUGACGGGGGCCCGCACAAGCAGUGGAUUAUGUGGUUUAAUUCGACGCAACGCGAAGAACCUUACCGAGGUUUGACAUCCCACUAACGAAGUAGAGAUACAUUAGGUGCCCUUCGGGGAAAGUGGAGACAGGUGGUGCAUGGUUGUCGUCAGCUCGUGUCGUGAGAUGUUGGGUUAAGUCCCGCAACGAGCGCAACCCCUGUGAUUAGUUGCCAUCAUUAAGUUGGGCACUCUAGUCAGACUGCCCGUGAAAGCGGGAGGAAGGUGGGGACGACGUCAAAUCAUCAUGCCUCUUACGACCUGGGCUACACACGUGCUACAAUGGUGUAAACAAAGGGAGGCAACCCCGCGAGGGCAAGCGAAUCCCAAAAAUAACGUCUCAGUUCGGAUUGCAGGCUGCAACUCGCCUGCAUGAAGCUGGAAUCGCUAGUAAUCGCGAAUCAGAAUGUCGCGGUGAAUACGUUCCCGGGUCUUGCACACACCGCCCGUCA
rnacentral:rRNA from 1 species